GCUUCAGUACGGUUUCGUGCGCGAAGGUGAGAAUACCUGUACCUGUUGGAUGAGUGCGCGCGAUUUGUUGCCGAGUCCAUCGUGCGCGAAGACACGCGAGUUUUGCUGGUUUGAAUGUGUAGUGUUGUCACCUGAUGACGACGGGAGGACGUUUAUCAUUAUUGCGCGGACUUUCCUUUGUGGGUGAACGAUCCGCCAGCGCGAAGUUGCGUGUGAAUUAUUGAUUUUUGUUUUCGGUACGGGCUUAUUCGAUGCUUUUUCUGUGUUUGCGGAAGGUGAAAGGUGGACCUCGGAAACCUGUUUGCAACCUUUUUGUGGAUUAGUCUAGGUGGAAGAAGAAGAAUUUGAAGGGAAGUGCGUCAAGUGAUGUCAUCGUGGGAGACCUCCUAGAUGGACAUUUGAAUGGUUGAAGUACGCCGAAAAUAGAAUCGAAGUAACGAACGGGAAGAAAUCGAUGCAAUAGUUCAGUGAUGUAAGACAAAGAAGAACCUCCAUAAAAGGUGAAUAUAAAUUCGAUAUCGAUGAAUGCCAAUCGAAUGCUUAUUAGGUGAUUAUCCCCAUUUUCUACUGGAAUUUGUGACGCUUUUUUUUUUGUUUGUGAAUCGAAAUCUAUUUCGGGUGGUUUUAAUGACCUGAAGCUCUUCAGGUUUGGAAAAACGAGAAACCAUUUCAGUCAGUUUGUGAUUCAGUUUCUAAACGAAGAAAGAAGAAUUUUGAUUGUGCCGAACACCGUUAGUCGAAGAAAAAUAUUUCGUUCGUGCCGGGUGGAGAUAAAAAAAAACAACCAACGAAAGAGAUGCUGUAAGUCCGACAACGAAACGAAACGUUUUCAAAAGUGUGGUAAAAAUGCAACAGCGGAGCGCGCUUUCUCUGAGGAACAACAACACAUGUUUGUGAAUCAACAGCAGCCAGCGGGAUUAUCACAGCAGUCGUCGUUGUCGGCAGCAGCGGCACGGUGGGCCUAAUCUAAGCCGAGCAGAGCUAAUCUAAGAUCUUACCCAGAGUACCGCUCGAUCGACCCCCCAUCAUCAUCGUAUCGCUGCACGCGUAGAGAGGACAAUGACCAUUCAGAAUUCUUCUCGCGCGGUGCUCCACAUUCAACAAGACCCACUCGGAUCGCGGCCUAUAAUUUCAAUUAAAUCUCAACCAGCAAUGGUUCAUGCGCUUUGAGAGCUCAGAGUUCUUCUAAAUUCCUCCAGCCUCGUCAAGGUCAAGUUUGGCCAGUUGACUGUGCCCGGUGCCGCACGCAGUCAGUGGUGAUGAAAACGGAUGAUUGAGCAAAAAUUAAGUACCACCAUCGUCGUUGUUCGUUGUUGAGUCUAACCUCCUCGGUUUGGUGGGUCGUUAAAUAAAGUGAAACUUGCCAAGAGUUACUCGACGCGAAGUGUGUAUGCAAAAGUGUGUAGGUGCGAUUCACUAUUAUACCCUCUGUGCAAAGGUGAAAAUAAUAAUUGGCAACAAAGAAUCAAAUGAAGUGUGAUCAACAGUGAGUGAUUGAUUCGAAGAAAAAAGGGUGUAUACGGAAGAAGUUGCCAAGUCUGGACAACUCGAAGUUGGUUGUGUGUCGUGAACAAAAGAUUUGAACGCCGCGCCGCACCGGCUGGAUUACGGGAAGGAUGCUGGGUAACAGCGGUUGUGAUGCGAAUCUGUGCUAACUGGGUGUGUUUCGCAAUUUUGAGUGAUUUGAAUGGAUGACUAGGAGACGAAGAAACGAGCUUGGUGUAUUGGUUUUUGGUGCUGCUUUGAAGAUUUAAGUGUGAUAAGUGCGAAGAAGGAAGUGUAAAUACCUGGUAGCAGAAUCAGUGGAAGCGGCUUGCAAAUUGGAUUAACCUCAAUUGGAUGUUUACUUUGUGGAUUAUGGCCGGUUUCUAUCAAACUACAAUCAUGAGACCCCACGCCGCUGCCCACUCCCCGGAGGGAGCUGCUGUAGCCACCGAAAAUGUAUUCUACGCACAGCACGAGUCAAACGCAGGCUUCGGCCACCAUUGAGAAGCGCACCACCGACAAACAGUCAAGGUUCAUCCAACGAUUUUACCUUUUUGGAACAAACCCCAACUCUAGCACUCCACGAUCGUGCAGCGCUCCAACCUCUCCCACAUCCCCAGAACCACCCCCAUCCCCUCUGAAACACCCAAAAAAUUCGAAACCCUCCACUGACAGCGAAGACGAUCUCCCCUUCCACCCACUUCCCCAGCAGCAUUACAGUGUUCAACGACUGCGACAGUUCUGGAACAACCGGCUCAGUCUCAGUUCACCCAACUCCUCCCAAACAAGUGAAACUGCCCUCUCGCGGAAGCUCAAAAGUGUCACCCUUAGCCCGUCAAAUACCAGUCGGAAACCUUCCACACCAGAAUUUCUCCGCCGAAACGGUUCCACCCGAGGUUCCGCAUCCCGGCGAAACGUCGUCCGCACCAGCCUAGUUCCUCUGUACUCCAAAACUGGGAGUCCAAAAGCGAGUCGCCAUUCGGACCCUUCCAAUGAUAGCUCCACCCAGAAGCGAUCCAGCGUAGUACUGAGUCCCGUCAAGGAUCUCAAAAAAGAGAAACGAUCCUGCCUGGAGCGGGUCGGGUGCAAUGCUGGAUUCCCGCUGGUGACGGCAUCGGCCACUGGAGGACGCAUCAACUGGGCUAGGCGUGUUGAACUGCUUGGAAUUCGGCUGAACCAAGACGACACCAAAAUGCCAAUCAAGAUGGAGAACUAUGUGAACAACUUCAUUGAAGUUGACAUCCAGAAUGAACCUCCCUCGUCACCGCCUCCGGACAUUCCUGCGGAGGAAUCUCCCAAAGAGGAUACGCCUGAACCAACGACAUCCCCUGAGAAACCUCCCGAGGAGUCUUCGCAGCCAAAGCUGGAUAUGAGAGAUUCUCUCGAGAGUAAGAAAAGCGUUAGUUCAACGGACUCGCAGUCUCUCGGACGAAGACAUGGAACUCCAACGCGAAAGGUGAGUUUCCGAACGACCACUUCGCCGUACAACCGCAAACUACUCCAAGCCAAAGAGAACAAGGUGGCGGCCCUGACAAACAAGUUCAACAAGAUGUGUCAGCAGGACGCCGGCAUCUUGGAGGAACUUCGUAAACGGGGUGGAUUGGUUCACAAAUCCGGAAGUCACGUGUACAAGGUGGUUGAUGGCGAAGGUAGUGUACGGAAGAAGCUCAACGUGAGCAGUAGCACUCGAACGGACGAAAGUUCGGACGAUGUCUCGGUCGGUAGCAAAGGUUCGUAUCGGAAGGCUGGGGUGAAGAAACGUCCCAGUCUGAGAAAGAACCUGUAUCGCAGGCCUGAAUGGGAAGCGGCAAACAGGACAUCGCUCUGCGUGAAAGAAGCCCUGGAGAUAUUCGAACCGAAUGGUCAUCGCCCAGUUGUUCGACCGCAGAUGGAUAGGAAACCUCCUGCAGGUCGCACCAAACCCAAGGUUCCGGACAAAAGCGACCAGGUAAUCAGGAAGACUAGGGAGCUGAAGAAUAAGAGAGCGAUUCAAAUCGAUUCCAACAGUUGUGAUAGCAGCGCAGUGAGGGAGCAAGCAAUAGACAAGGUGCCAAAUAGUAUUAGCCAAGAUAGUAUUAGCAACGAAGAGCGAAGCGAAGUAGAUAGUAAUACUCAAGUUGUGGAGGAAGUGACAAGGGUAGAGGUGGUAAUAGAUAAACCUGUCGAGGCAGAUAAACCUGAGAAAGUGACUGACGAAUACUCCGUGGUGAAGAAGAAGUUUGACAUUAGUCAUUACGGAACCGUGAAGCAGAAGAAAGAUAAAAAAGAAAAUUCGGCAAAAGAGCAGACAACUCUUCCACUGAAGCAAAAAAGCGCUGUUCAGAGAAUCUACGAGAAGUUUACAUUCCGAUCGGCCAAGAAGAUUCACUUAAGUAGCCCCGAGCGAACUUCCAGCGAAUCGCAGCUCAACUCCAGCUCGGACACUGAUGAUCGUCUACAUUUUGUUGUUGACAACAAGCUUACGCGGAAGAACUUUGUGUCUUCUAUUGAGAUACCCACGAUUCACAUCGAAGAAUCGCAGGAGAGUAGCUCUGAUCCGUCAGAUCGCAAGAUCGUAGACGCCAUCAAAUCUCUUACCGUAAAGAUCGACAACCUGUCCAGGAGUUUCAAUGAUCUAACGAUCAAUGAUCCCGAACCGGAACCCGAUUCAGAACCUGCCGUCCAACCAAACACUUCCUUCCUGUUCCGAAGCAUGUCGAAGAUAGGUACGGGAACCGAAACAGCGAUUAGUCAGUUGAACAUCGUCCAAGCCGUCAACACUGUGGUGAUCAACAAAUCCAUUUCCAUGGAUGACCAUCACUUCCCCUGUCGAGCGAACCUUGAACGUCUAAGUCUGAACGAAACUAUCCCCGUAGUAAUGGUAAGUAAGGCAAUCAGUGCCUCCGAAAACGAUUACGAACUGGUGUCCAGGGUUGAGUCUCCUCGAAGAUCAUCGGAAGGUUCAACCUGCUCCUUCCGCGGCAGUACCAUGAGCAUCGAUAUCAUGGGCCUGAACGCCAACAUCGACUCCUUCCUGUACAAGGCGAAGAACGUCGAGAGUGCAACAACAAUCGAUCUUCCAACCGUCCAUACCCCGAUUCAACCCGACACCAGCAGCAUCAAUAGCUACGAAUCUUUCGAAAAUUACGAAUCCAUCGAGCGAACCAGUAGUCCGAAAGAAGAGGACACCUACGAAGUGUGCAAUCCACCGGAACCUCUGCCUCCACGAAACGAUACCAAAUCACCGAACGAUCUGGCUCUGCCACAACCAAAACGAAACCUCACCGGAUCUCCAAAGUUCUUGCCAAAAAUGCAGCCGACCUACCAAUCGAACUACGAGAAGAUCAAAUACGACCAGACGCCUCCAAGACCCCCAAAACCGGAGGAAGUCCCUCUGCCACCUCGCAACCCCGUUCCCAUGGAGCUCAACAGCAUCCCUCGCGAGCCGCCCACUUCCACAUCCCCAGCGCUCUCCGACGAACCGAUCUACGAAGAGAACAUCUACGAUACGAUCAAGAGCUCGGACGGCCUAGAUUACGACGAACCGAACGGCAGUGCCGAAUCCGCUGUGAUCAAGCGCCCGAAGCACAAUCUUCCCCCCGCGGAUACCCUAUCGCUGAUGUCCUCCAACUGUUACGAAUCGAUCGGAUCCAAGCUGACGGUGGUGGACUUCCUGAGGCAUGGAGGAAUGACACUUCCGCGAAUGGGAUCUAUUUCGACGCUAGCUUCCGAUCAGAUUACCAACAGCCUGUACGGGUGCAAUACGAACGGUGGGCCAAGUUUGACUCCGCCGAGCGAACGGGGUAGCGAUACCAGCAAUAGCGCCGAGUGGACCGAUAUUUCCGACGACGAGGAUGAGGACGAAGCCGGCAAUGGGAGAAGCAACUUUAUUAUUGUUCGGAAGCGGAAUAAGGCACACCAGACGCCCGUCUGGUCCCGGAAGGUUCGCAACAAGUUGGUGUCACAACAACAGCAGCAGCUGCAGCAGACGGAACAAGGACUGCCCAAACUUGAUGAUGAUUCCGAUCAUGUUUACGAAUCGCUGGAGUCGCACGGGCAUUCACGUAUCAGCACACCCUCAGUUGGCUCAGCCGGCGUUCAGAACCGACGAAUACCACCUCCACCGCCUUCGUUCCACUUAAGCGAUACCACCGCCACAACCACAACAUCCAGCAGUCCUCAACCGAACUCUAUCAAUCCUCAACGAUCACCGAUCGGGCACAUCGAUGAAACCUGCCCCGUCGACUCGAUCGAUUCCGACUCGUUCGACAGUGACGAAAGCGACGAAGAUCGCCGAAACGACACCUACUUGCAUCCGAACGACAUCAACAGCGCCAAACAGCUGCCGGAUCCACCGCCCUCCAACAACCAGAUGUACGCCCUGAUGCAGAAAAUCCGAAACAUCGGGACGCUCUCCAAGUCCGAACUCGCCAAAGGGUUCAACAAAUUUUCCAAAAAGAAAAUCAGUUCUUCCAAGUCACCAAAGAUCUUUACCGGGGAAAAUCUGACCUUCCCGUCCGGACCGGAAGACGGUAGUGCCGUUAACUAUGAAAACACUCCGCUUCCGAAAACGCCCAAGCAGUCCAAAUCCAAAUCGUUCAAACUGCCACUCCAGCUCGGAUCAUCCAGCAAAGCCUCGUCCGAUGACUACGAAAACACCGAUUUCCACCAACCCGUCACCCCGACGUCGGUCUCGCCCAACGGAUCCGCCCUCGCAUCUAGUCCCGCUUCGGAACAAGCGGACCGAUCCAUUCUGGCCAGUAUCAGCAACAGCGACUCCAGCAACGUUUCGACCUUCCGCAAAAAGACCAAAACCGGAAAAUCCCUUCGCUCCAAGCUUCGCAAGAGCCUCCAGUCGGACUCUAGUCUCCACAUCAACAGUUCGUUCAACGGCUCCCGCAGUACGUUCUACGUAACGGACUCGCUGGACGUCGACUCAGGGAUAUUCAACGGCAGCGAACCGAACAGCUCCUCUUCGAAUCUGAACGUGGCCUCCGUCGGGAAGGACACUCCCUCGCCGCAGAAGCACGCCUCCCACAAAACCCCGGACGCCGACCGGAGGAAGUCGAUGAUCGGCGGGGGCAGCCCAGCUAGUCGACCUACCAUUCCGCCGCCACCGCCACCCGUCAGCGCAUCCGUCGGCGUCGGCGCCGGCGACAAAAAGUUCCUGAAGAACCGGAAGCUGGGUGCCACCUCGUGGUACGCCGAAUGCGGUGUGUUCAAGGCGGACUCCCUCAAGCAGGCCUCGUUCGAGAACGAACUGAAGAGCAAGGAGCGCAGUACGACGUCCUGGUACGCCGAGGCUGGGCUGUACCAAACCAGUGAUGUGUCCGUGGCAAGCUCCAGCGAAAGUUCCGGUGUGUCGACCGGUGGCGAAGGCGGCGGAGAGGACGACCACUCGCACAGUAUGUUCGUGAACGAACCACUCUACCAGAUCUACAACGCGGCCAAGUUGGAAUCGCUAACGCGGGACAUCGAUGCGGAAAUUACCGGCGACGGCGACACCGAACUGUAUGACGACGGCUACGAGAAGAUCUCCGACCGGCGAAAGAGUACGGGUGGUGGUGGUGGUGGUGGUGCCGGCUCUGGGAGUGACGAGGAUGUGGUUGGACGGAAGCUGCGACCCAGUGCGUUCGAGCUGAUCGAGCCCAACGUGGGAAAGCUGCGAACCCUCUGGUGUGAGAUUCCCGAGGUGAUCAAUUCGGAGAUUUUGCUGACCCUAACUCCAACGGAGAAACGCCUCCAGGAGGCCAAGUUCGAGAUUCUCACAUCGGAAGCGUCCUACCUGAAAUCGCUCAAUCUGCUCAAAACCCACUUCAUCAACCAUCCGGCCUUCCGGGACGUCAAGGUUCUGACGUCGUCCGAGCGCAAAACGCUCUUCUCCAACAUUAUCCCGGUGCAGGAGUGUUCCGAUCGGUUACUCUGCGAUCUGGAGAACUGCUGGCAGGACAACAUCAUGCUCCUGGGUCUCAGUCACAGUAUCUACAAGCACGCCGAGAAGCACUUCCACGUGUACGUCAACUAUUGCGAACACCAGGCGAAAAUCGAUCGAACGUUGAAGAACCUCAAGGCGAACAAGACCGAGUUCACCAAAACUCUGCUGGAGCUGGAAUCGGACCCAAUUUGCUGUGGCCUUAGCCUAUCGUCCUUCCUGAUGCUCCCGAUGCAGCGGAUAACUCGAAUGCGCCUACUCCUAGACGCCGUCCUCCAGCGGCUCAAAUCCGAUGACGACGAGUUCAUCAGCUGGGAGAAGACCUUCGUGCUGAUCAACCAGAUCCUAAAACAGUGCAACGACGCGGCCCACCGGAGCGAGCAGAUGUACGAGAUGGAGAUGAUCUCGCGGCAGAUUGAGUUCCCGUCGCACAUCCGACCGCUGGCCAUCGUCCCCUGUGGCAUCGGGCCACCCGGCAGCGUGAUGCGCAAGCUAGAGAAGAAGGGCGAACUAGUGCACUUGCUGUGGCGCGGAGACGACGCCAAGCUCACCUUCGGCAAGAAGUUCAGCAAGAGCAACAUCUACGCUUUCCUGUUUACCGAUCUGAUUGUGCUGACCAAGAAGAAGGGUGACGAAACCUUCCUAGUCACGGACUACUGUCCACGGGCCCUGCUGACGGUCAACUCCGGCGACAUUGUGCCCCAGCUGCCGACCAAGGAGAUGCAGGCCAUCGGGAAGCACCUGAUCAUCAUGACGCUGCUGGAGAACCACGAGGGAAAGACUAUCGAGAUGAUCAUCAGUUGCCCCUCGGAAACGGAACGGGAGCGGUGGCUCAAAGUGACCGAGCCCCUAUCGUCGGAAAACCCGGACGAAAAAAUCUACGAACAGUGGGACUGCCCCCAGGUGGUUGCAAUCCACCCCUACCAGGCACUGCAACCGGACGAACUCGAUCUGGACAUCACGGAAGUGGUCAACGUGCAUCGGAAAAUGGCUGACGGGUGGUACGAAGGCGAACGGAUCCGGGACGGUGCGGUCGGAUGGUUCCCCAGCAACUACACCAAGGAGAUCCCGUCGGCGCACGUCCGGGCCAAGCACAUCAAACAGCGCCACGUGCUCCUCUCGUACACGUCCAAGUAUAUCGAUACGACGACGCGGACCCUGCAGCACAGUAAAAAGUGAAGCAGCCGAACAAUAAGUGGCGACUUAACUGCAUGCAAUUAUUAGUUUUUUAUGCGUAACACAGUGUUUUUGAAAUCGAUAGCAGAGAUCUUAGUUAGAACCUAAGGCCUACACGUAGUUAGCCUCUGUUAGUUAGGUAUACCUCCUGUUUGUUUCAUUUCUGUCUGUAAUCACUGAUUAUGACUCCGAUGUAAAAAUUUGUUGAAUGCCUUGUUUGAGUGUGCCUUUUUUGUGUGUUGUAAAUCUUAAAAGUGUUUAAAUUAUUACGCUAUUGAAUCGCUAACCGUCUCCACUUGUAAACUGAAUAGUGUACCCCCGAUAGUUAGAACUUUUUUCUGUGUAUGUAUUAUAGGACGAAUCCGUGUAGAAAACUAAAUCUGUGUAUAACUGAGUAUGUUUUGAGCAAUAACUGGAGUGCGAUGAUUGUAUGUCGUCUUGCAAAGUAUUAUAAAUAAAAGUAAUAAUUAUUUGUUA